AGUGACCUGUGGUCCCAGAAGCGGAUGAUCCUCCUCCCAAUGAGUUGUCAGCUAUCAUUGUCAGUGCAGUCUUCUGAAGCAGGAACAGCCAGGAAGUGGGUUCUAGGUUUGGUUCUGCCAGCUCACCACCUCAACAGCACCUGCUGAAUCUCCCUUCUCAUUUGUAUUACACUCACUUGCCUGACCUUCUUUCUAGAGUGUUGUGAAUACUGCACCUCUUAUAAUAAAGCCUCAAUGUCGUAUGAUUUGCAUAUAUUCCUACAGAGAUGAAAAACUACAAAAGCAUUUGCACUGUAUCAUCCCCACCCCAGUCUAUGUAUUCCCUGAAAGUAAAGAAGAAAAUGGUCAAAGAAAACAAUGUAAAAAUGCUUUAAGCUGCAUAAGGAAUAUUCAAGAUGAAAGGUCAUGGGAUGACACAGUGAUCAAGCCUGGAAGAGAGGCUUCACCAGAAACCAAUGCUUGAGAGCGCCCUGGUCUUAUUUAUACUUGUAGCUUCCAGAACCACGAGAAAAUAAAUUUCUGUUGUUUAAG
rnacentral:lncRNA from 1 species